AGUGUCAAUGAACAACGAAGAGGGAAAGGGAGUUUGAGAGAGGAAGUUGAGCAUGGGGAAGAGAUCGAGUACAGGAGUGAGAGAGAGAAAGGGAGAUCGGAGUGACUAAGAGAAAACAAAGGCCGAGGAAAAAGGUGAAACUAGGAAGUAGAGAGGGAAAGGGAGAGGGAGUUGAGCUGAGAGCCUAUUUCGAUUCUCUAGACACCUACUGCCAGUGAGACUCAUUCUUUUUUUGGUAAAGAGGGGUAUUCUAAGGAGCUCCAGUUUUAAGGAAUAUCUCAAUGGUCAAGUUCGGAGACAAUGGAGCUUUGGCCAACUGUGUUGGAGCCCCACCAGGUUCUAAACAUGAGGCAUGAUACAAGAGAGCAAAGAGGGGUAUUUUAAGGAGCAUCGGCUUCAAGAAACAUCCUCAUGGUUAAGUCCGAAGAUAAUGGACCUCUGGCCAAAUGUUUUGGACCCCACCGAGUUUCAAACAUGUGGCAUGAUACAGGAGAGUAUGUUGCAUGAUUGAUCUAACACCCUAAAAACCUUUGUGCUUAAUUUGUAUUAUGAACCCUUAUUUAUUUAGCCCCUAAGACCAUUUAAACUAUUUAAAUUCUAAAUUUUAAUUUCUGGAUAAAUUCAACAUUUGAAGUUUCGUAUUUAUUUAGUUUAAAUU